CAUCGGAGACGCGGGUUACCGUGCAUACGUCACAAGUCUGACUUAACCUCCUCGUUAGCGGGCUUAACAAUGCGCGCGCAACUUAUUAUACAUCGAUAAGUUGAAGUUGUGCGCGUAUCGCAUAAUGAAACCGAAACCGACACGCGCGCAUCUUAGAUUCGAAUUCGUGCCGCAGAAAUGUGCUCGUACCGAUUUUUUAGAAAUCGAGAGACUAAUGAGUCGAUCAUGGCUGCCAUGUAACUAAACCGAGAAGUGUUCUGAACCCAUCAUAACCUACAAAGAAAUCGAAGAUGUUUCAUUUGGAAAUUCAAGACCGUAGACCUUAUAUACGGAUUGACAAUUGCUAUAGUUUCUGCAUAAGAAACAGUGUCCGCGGGAGGUUAGAUAGAGAGAGACAUACUUUUUAGUAUUUCUUUCUCUUAAAAUAUAUUGCGCAUGAGUUCGAAGUAUUUGGCGGAUUAAUAUAAUAAUAUGAUCGAAAAAAAUAUAUAUUGUAGUGAAGAAUGAAAGACUUCAUAAUUGAA